GCAUCGGUGGUUCAGUGGUAGAAUGCUC
rnacentral:piRNA from 9 species